rnacentral:rRNA from 1 species
AUUUAUUGGGUUUAAAGGGUGCGUAGGCGGCCCGUUAAGUCUGAUGUGAAAGCCCUGGGCUCAACCUGGGAAUUGCAUUGGAUACUGGCGGGCUAGAGUGCGGUAGAGGAUGGCGGAAUUCCCGGUGUAGCAGUGAAAUGCGUAGAGAUCGGGAGGAACAUCCGUGGCGAAGGCGGCCAUCUGGACCAGCACUGACACUGAGGCACGAAAGCGUGGGGAGCAAACAG